ACCUGAGGUCAGGAGUUCAAGACCGGCCUGAGUAAUAUGGAGAAGCCCCAUCUCUACUAAAAAUACCAAAUUAGUUGGGCGUGGUGACUCAUGCCUGUAAUUCCAGCUACUUAGGAGGCUGAGGCAGGACAAUCACUUGAACCUGGGAGGCAGAGAUUGUGGUGAGCCAAGAUCACGCCAUUGCACUCCAGUCUGGGCAACAAGAGUGAAACUCCAUCUCAAAAACAAACAAAAAACAAGACAAAGAAACUACUGCUGCCUUCCAUCAGGUAAAAAUUUAUUCGCCAGAUUUGCUACUUGAGGCAUAAAAGUUUUCUGGAAAUCAGGCAUGUGAAAAGAGAGUCAAGUACAUUUGCCUAAGCAGCCACCAGAAAAGUAAGUAAAUAUUACUUAGUCAUACAGCACAAUCAUCAUCGAAAUACAUUUCUCACGUGACUGCAUGGAUGUAGCUUUUGGCUACACAGCAUGCAUGUUUCCAGCUCUGGGACCACAGCUUUAGGUUUGUGUGGGGAGAGGGAGGAAAGGGGAUGAAAUAACACUAAAACCUCUGUGGGCUAGGAGGUCCAAAAAGGGCAUUCUCUUUUCUUGCUGGUGGGAAUUCUCAUUCCCACCAGCAGAGAAACACUGCCUGUCUUUUGGAAAACAAGCUUGCAGCAUCUAUUUCAAUGCAACUACAUGUAAUUGACCUAGGAAUGCUCCUGGUAGAAAGUUAUCCUGUAGAAACACAAACUUAAUAUUUAAGUAUAUAUGAACAAGGACUUUUAAGUAACCAUGUUCCUAAUGGCAGUAUUUGUAGUGGAAGCAUCCUCAAUGACCAUUGGUAGAGAAAUAAUUGAAUAAGUUGAGGUAUAUAUAACCUUGGAAUACAAUGUACCUGUAAAAAAAAAAUAAAGAACUUAGAACUAUAUCCGUUAACUAAGGGGAAUGCUCAUUAUGCAUUAUGUGAGAACACAAAGGGCAAGGAAAUAUAUAUAAUAUGAAUGCGUUUUGUAAAAAAAAAAAAAAAAGAGGGAGAGAGAAAUGGAA
rnacentral:lncRNA from 1 species